UAAGGGAUAUUGCGACAAUGGGCGUAAGCCUGACGCAGCAACGCCGCGUGCGGGAUGACGGCCUUCGGGUUGUAAACCGCUUUUCUGGGGGAAGAGGCAGGACGGUACCUCAGGAAGAAGUCUCGGCUAACUACGUGCCAGCAGCCGCGGUAAAACGUAGGAGGCGAGCGUUAUCCGGAUUUACUGGGUGUAAAGCGCGAGCAGGCGGUGGUGCAAGUCAUGUGUGAAAGCGCUCAGGCUCAACCGGGCGAGGACGGGUGAAACUGCACCACUGGAGGCAGGUAGAGGCGGAUGGAAUUCCGGGUGUAGUGGUGAAAUGCGUAGAGAUCCGGAGGAACACCAGUGGCGAAGGCGGUCCGCUGGGCCUGGCCUGACGCUCAGACGCGAAAGCAUGGGGGAGCGAACGGGAUUAGAAACCCCGGUAGUCCAUGCUGUAAACGAUGUGGACUAGGUGUGGCGGGGUGAAAGCCGCGGUGCCGCAGCUAACGUGAUAAGUCCA
rnacentral:rRNA from 1 species